CGAUGACAGCGGCGUGGAUAUCGCUCACCUCCGCACGUAAGGGGAAUGGGUUGAAAACCAUCGAGUCGAGGAACUGGCUGGCGAG
rnacentral:snRNA from 1 species